CUACUCUCAGUUCGGAUUGUAGGCUGAAACUCGCCUACAUGAAGCUGGAGUUACUAGUAAUCGCAGAUCAGAAUGCUGCGGUGAAUGCGUUCCCGGGUCUUGUACACACCGCCCGUCACCCCACGGGAGUUGGAGACGCCCGAAGCCGAUUAUCUAACCUUUUGGAAGAAGUCGUCGAAGGUGGAAUCAAUAACUGGGGUGAAGUCGUAACAAGGUAGCCGUAUCGGAAGGUGCGGCUGGAUCACCU
rnacentral:rRNA from 1 species